rnacentral:rRNA from 1 species
UACGGAGGGUGCAAGCGUUGUCCGGAUUUAUUGGGUUUAAAGGGUGCGUAGGCGGCCCGGUAAGUCAGUGGUGAAAGCCUCCAGCUCAACUGGAGAACUGCCAUUGAUACUGCCGGGCUUGAGUACAGACGAGGUUGGCGGAAUUGAUUGUGUAGCGGUGAAAUGCAUAGAUACAAUCAAGAGCUCCGAUUGCGUAGGCAGCUAACUAGGCUGUAACUGACGCUGAGGCACGAAAGCGUGGGGAGCGAACAGG